rnacentral:rRNA from 1 species
UGAAUUGACGGGACCGCACAAGCGGUGGAUGAUGUGGUUUAAUUCGAUGCAACGCGAAAAACCUUACCACCUUUGACAUGUACGGAAUCCUUUAGAGAUAGAGGAGUGCUCGAAAGAGAACCGUAACACAGGUGCUGCAUGGCUGUCGUCAGCUCGUGUCGUGAGAUGUUGGGUUAAGUCCCGCAACGAGCGCAACCCUUGUCAUUAGUUGCUACAUUCAGUUGGGCACUCUAAUGAGACUGCCGGUGACAAACCGGAGGAAGGUGGGGAUGACGUCAAGUCCUCAUGGCCCUUAUAGGUGGGGCUACACACGUCAUACAAUGGAUGGUACAAAGGGUCGCCAACCCGCGAGGGGGAGCCAAUCCCAUAAAGCCAUUCGUAGUCCGGAUCGCAGUCUGCAACUCGACUGCGUGAAGUCGGAAUCGCUAGUAAUCGUGGAUCAGAAUGUCACGGUGAAUACGUUCCCGGGUCUU